CCUACGGUGGGCAGCAGUGAGGAAUAUUGGUCAAUGGACGAGAGUCUGAACCAGCCAAGUAGCGUGAAGGAUGACUGCUCUAUGGGUUGUAAACUUCUUUUAUAAAAGAGUAAUACCAGGUACGUGUGUCUUUUUGCAUGUAUCUUACGAAUAAGGAUCGGCUAACUCCGUGCCAGCAGCCGCGGUAAUACGGAGGAUCCGAGCGUUAUCCGGAUUUAUUGGGUUUAAAGGGUGCGUAGAUGGGUGGUUAAGUCAGUUGUGAAAGUUUGCGGCUCAACCGUAAAAUUGCAAUUAAUACUGGAAGACUUGAGAACAGAUGAGGUAGGCGGAAUUCGUGGUGUAGCGGUGAAAUGCUUAGAUAUCACAAAGAACACCGAUUGCGAAGGCAGCUUACUAAACUGUGACUGACAUUGAGGCUCGAAAGUGUGGGGAGCAAACAGGAUUAGAUACCCGUGUAGUC
rnacentral:rRNA from 1 species